rnacentral:rRNA from 1 species
UGUCCUACGGGGCGCAGCAGUGGGGGAUAUUGCACAAUGGGGGGAACCCUGAUGCAGCGACGCCGCGUGGGUGAGGAAGCGCCUCGGCGCGUAAAGCCCUGUCAGCAGGGAAGAAAAUGACGGUACCUGAAGAAGAAGCCCCGGCUAACUACGUGCCAGCAGCCGCGGUAAUACGUAGGGGGCAAGCGUUAUCCGGAUUUACUGGGUGUAAAGGGCGUGCAGCCGGGAAGACAAGUCAGAUGUGAAACCCCGCGGCUCAACCGCGGAACUGCAUUUGAAACUGUUUUUCUUGAGUACCGGAGAGG